rnacentral:tRNA from 4 species
CGCGACGGGCAGUUUUUCCCAGCUGGCUCUAGGCUCAUAACCUUGAGGUCGCUGGUUCAAAUCCAGCCCCCGCAACCA